GCUAGCACUGAUUCAAGAUUAGCAUACUGGAUAUAUCCUGUCCUAUCCCAGGUGUGUGUCACACCUAACAGAGGAGCCAGACCAGCUGUCCUAACAGGGUAUAAGGCUGUUCUGACCCUCUGUCUGACAGCAGCCUGUCCUGGGAGGCAGUUUUGUGGCUCUGGGUGCUGAAGCAGCAAGAGCUUCCAAGCAGCAG